CUUAAACACACAUCUUUAUACCUAGAAUCUUGUUAAUGUAAGCUUUCAUUGCCAUGAUCUAAUUUCUAAGAUCCCGUUGGCAAAAACCCUAACAACCUUCAAUCUGGAUCGCCUCCUAUUCAUGCUCUAUGUGGAUAUCAAGGGGUCACUCCAAGAGAGUUGGAUAGCAAUCUUUACAUAGCCAUAUGAAGUCUUAAAAGAGCCAACAAUACAUGAUUUAAAUUCAAGGUUGAUAGUUGGUUUGUCAUGUGAGCAUGGUUUACAUGCCACCAUUGCUCACACAAUGAUUGGCUUGCGUUUACAUGAUGGCCUCUGGGUUUCCCAUCAUUGGAAAGUCCAAAAAUCGAGACUAAAAACAACACCUUGCAUAGUCAGAAUGAAAACUAAACAGGAUGGCACUGUGCAUGACAAGGUUGUUCCUUGAGUCUGUUCUAUAGGUCAACAUAAUUUUGUUAAUAUAAAUUGUCAUUUGCCUUUUAUCUAUUGUUAUGACAGAAUAUCCGAUUGGUUUAUCUCAACACCCUAAACAAGGGUAAAAAGGUGAUUAAUAUUGCCUCUCAAGAUGACGAGUUGAGCGAUAUCACUUGUCAAAGAGACGAUGUGGUUCAACUCCCGACAUAGAGGGAAAUAGUUCAAGUUUUUAUCCUAAUAAACUUUGACAAUGCACAUUGGGUAGUAGACAUCCUGGAUUUUAAGGAGUGGAAGAUCACAGUUUAUGACUUGUUAUAAAGUUUUACUAUUGAUUCGAAGAUAUUUAGCAGAAAGAUUUUGGGGUAUAUGUCAAUGAUGCCACAUUUGCUAGCUAUGACAUUAUUUUGGUUUUUUGCUGGUCGAACUCUACGGGACAAUCUAUUUGUAUUGCAUAGGGUGUUGGAUAUCCCAUAGUAGACACCUUUAUCAGGUGAUUUUGGUGUGUUCAUGGUAUGUUAUAUUGAGUGUCUAACACUUGGCCACUCGUUAUCUUUUGAGGUCGAGGACUCAUUACACCUAUGCAUUUGUUUAGCCACACAAUUAUUUUUUCAAGAUAUUGAUUGACCUUUAUAUUA